AGUGAACGCUGGCGGUAGGCCUAACACAUGCAAGUCGAACGGCAGCACAGUAAGAGCUUGCUCUUACGGGUGGCGAGUGGCGGACGGGUGAGGAAUACAUCGGAAUCUACUUUUUCGUGGGGGAUAGCGUAGGGAAACUUACGCUAAUACCGCAUACGACCUACGGGUGAAAGCAGGGGAUCUUCGGACCUUGCGCGAUUGAAUGAGCCGAUGUCGGACUAGCUAGUUGGCGGGGUAAAGGCCCACCAAGGCGACGAUCCGUAGCUGGUCUGAGAGGAUGAUCAGCCACACUGGAACUGAGACACGGUCCAGACUCCUACGGGAGGCAGCAGUGGGGAAUAUUGGACAAUGGGCGCAAGCCUGAUCCAGCCAUACCGCGUGGGUGAAGAAGGCCUUCGGGUUGUAAAGCCCUUUUGUUGGGAAAGAAAAGCAGCAGGUUAAUACCCCGCUGUUCUGACGGUACCCAAAGAAUAAGCACCGGCUAACUUCGUG
rnacentral:rRNA from 1 species